UUUUGGACAAUGGGCGCAAGCCUGAUCCAGCAAUGCCGCGUGAGCGAAGAAGGCCUACGGGUUGUAAAGCUCUUUUGUCAGGGAAGAAACGGUGAGCUCUAAUACAGUUUGCUAAUGACGGUACCUGAAGAAUAAGCACCGGCUAACUACGUGCCAGCAGCCGCGGUAAUACGUAGGGUGCAAGCGUUAAUCGGAAUUACUGGGCGUAAAGCGUGCGCAGGCGGUUAUGUAAGUCAGAUGUGAAAUCCCCGGGCUCAACCUGGGAAUGGCAUUUGAGACUGCAUGGCUAGAGUGUGUCAGAGGGGGGUAGAAUUCCACGUGUAGCAGUGAAAUGCGUAGAGAUGUGGAGGAAUACCGAUGGCGAAGGCAGCCCCCUGGGAUAACACUACGCUCAUGCACGAA
rnacentral:rRNA from 1 species